AGCGAACGCUGGCGGCAGGCCUAACACAUGCAAGUCGAACGGAUCCUUCGGGAUUAGUGGCGGACGGGUGAGUAACACGUGGGAACGUGCCCUUUGGUUCGGAACAACUCAGGGAAACUUGAGCUAAUACCGGAUGUGCCCUUCGGGGGAAAGAUUUAUCACCAUUGGAGCGGCCCGCGUCUGAUUAGCUAGUUGGUGAGGUAAAGGCUCACCAAGGCGACGAUCAGUGGCUGGUCUGAGAGGAUGAUCAGCCACAUUGGGACUGAGACACGGCCCAAACUCCUACGGGAGGCAGCAGUGGGGAAUCUUGCGUAAUGGGCGAAAGCCUGACGCAGCCAUGCCGCGUGAAUGAUGAAGGUCUUAGGAUCGUAAAAUUCUUUUACCAGGGACGAUAAUGACGGUACCUGGAGAAAAAGCCCCGGCUAACUUUGUGCCAGCAGCCGCCGUAAAAC
rnacentral:rRNA from 1 species